GUUUAUGAAUCUUAAAACCUUAAUUACCGUUAGUCUAUUUCGGUUUUGCAUUUGAUUGUUUAAGUAAAGUUGUUUAGCUUGUUUAGAUCUACAUUUUGGUAUGAUUUCAGUAAUUUCUGGUUUUGUGUUCUUGAGAAUGUUGCUUGAGUAGUGAUUAGGGUUCUUGAGGAUGGAUUAGAUUAGGGUAAUCUCUAUGUUAGUUAGGUGGUUAGUGUUUAGGUUAAUACCCUUCUGGAUUCGCUUGGCCCCUAUGCGGUUUUCGUUGGCUAAUGUGGAGAUUCGAUUAUAGACGUCCAGCGUCCAAAAGACGUUCAAAUGGAUGUCUAACCUACAAAUUUUAGAGAUUUGUAGACUCGACCCAGAGAUUGGCUUGUCUGGCUAUUGGCUUUGGUAGAUUGUUUCUUAAACCUUGAUCUGCUAUGUUU
rnacentral:sRNA from 1 species